AUGCUGUACAGUACAAUCCUACUGACACACGAGAGGGAUAAUGAUGGCUAUUCAACAUUGUUACACGACACAUUCGAGCUGCAUGAUACAGACAAAGUGACUAAAUCAUCUUUUUUGUGGUCUAUUGUCUUCAAACCAGCAGACAAAGCUGAUGGCAGAAGAAGUCGGAGAAGAGCUUUAGGCCGUGUACUGAAAAGCAGUAUCAGGGGUAAAACUCUGACAACAGCAUGGGACCAAAUGCAUCUAACCAGCCUGCACCAACCUGAUAUUUCUUCCUCCUGAAUUAAAUGAAUGGAUGGAUGAAAGUUAAAUGACUACAAACCUAAAGCCACUAGUUCCCACACUGGAGUUUCCUGACACUGUGUGUUUAAUUGUACUGAGCUUGUAUCAACACUUGUAACAGGCUAAGCUACCCGAGACACUGCAUUGAAUUAUUGUUUCUAUCUUAAUGAUUUCAGCUGACUGGUUUUAGCUCAGAUGUUCCGCUUUUUCCUUUCAGUAGAUCAAAAUAACUUGUGCUCUUUCUGCUUCUAAUUUGAUGGCAAGAAGAAAAAGAAGAAUGCUUCAGCAAAGUGGUGUUCAUGGUCUCAGUGAGCAGUGUGCCGAUCAUGGUCACACACUGCAUGUGGUUCAAAAAGCAACAUGUCUGUUCACCACAACAAUCAAAAAGUUUGAAAUAUGUAUUGUUGUGAGAUGUGUAAUAUUAGUGCAUGCUACGGUUUGUUAUUGAACAUUGUUCAGUUGUGUUUUCUACUUAGACCACUUAGAUCAAAAAAAGUGUUGGUUUCAGAUUCUUUCUUUUUAAAUUUAUAAAGCACCUGUUCAUUUUUUUAAUAAAAUUAGUUUGACAUAAAUUUUAGUGUUUCCUUUAUAAUCUUUUAAUGCUUACACUACACUGUAAACAUCUACAUUAGAGACAUUUCUGUUACCUAUUUAUGAGACUGGGCUGCUUGACUACAAUUUGGAAGUGGAUGCAAAAUCACAUGGAGCGUGCUCUCGUUUCUUUUUUAAUAUGAUGGACUGAACACAGGAGGUAUCCGCUUUUGACUAAGCACAGAUUAAUCUGAUCCCAUUUCUACCUGUCUGUACUAUUUGAAGAUUUCACUGAAGUUUGCUCAACUGUAAUUGUCAGGAUAUAUAUUUUUUCCAGCUCUCAAAGGGCAAAGGAAUGACUCAGACUUAUCAAAUGUUCUUUGAUUAGAUACACAAUGUGAAGUUCAUAAUUUUUUGCAAAUAAAACUAUAUGACAAACAUGAACAGCUGUGCUUAUUUCUGAGACAUGAAUGUUUGUAAACAACUUUAUUUUCUGAAUGUGUUCGUAUUUAGACAGCGUACAUUUGUAGGCUGAAACUGUAAUGGUGAACCUGAGCUGAUGGUCAACAGAAGGCAAAUAUACAUAAAUAUAAAACAAUAUUGAAGUAAUGUCUUUAACCAAUCAACUUAUUCACUGUAGUAAACAUGCACCGCUAGCUCACGUGAUUGACUCUGUCUCCAUGGUUACAUCGUAUAUUAUUAGCUAUGUAAACAGCUUCCAAAGAUACCGCCAUUGCUCUCUGCAGCUGUAACACUUUCACGCUUUGCAAAUCAUUUUACGUUUUUGAUAGUUAUGAAGACAGAAU
ensembl:lncRNA